GUCAGGAUGGCCGAGCGGUCUAAGGCGCUGUCAGGUCGCAGUCUCCCCUGGAGGCGUGGGUUCGAAUCCCACUUCUGACA
rnacentral:tRNA from 1 species